rnacentral:rRNA from 1 species
GAUGAACGCUGGCGGUAUGCCUAACACAUGCAAGUCGUACGAGAGUUUUUAACUCUAGUGGCGGACGGGUGAGUAACACGUGAGAAUUUGCCUUUAGGAGGGGGAUAACAAUUGGAAACGAAUGCUAAUACCCCAUAUGCUUUUGAGUGAAAUGGAUUUUAUCCGCCUAGAGAGAAGCUCGCGGCUGAUUAGCUUGUUGGUAAGGUAAGAGCUUACCAAGGCGACGAUCAGUAUCUGGUUUGAGAGGACGAUCAGACACACUGGAACUGAGACACGGUCCAGACUCCUACGGGAGGCAGCAGUGGGGAAUAUUGCACAAUGGGCGAAAGCCUGAUGCAGCAACGCCGCGUGAGCGAUGAAGGCCUUUGGGUCGUAAAGCUCUGUCCUUGGGGAAGGAAACAAAUGACGGUACCCUUGGAGGAAGCCCCGGCUAACUACGUG